CAGUCGCCGCGGGAAAACGAAGGGUGCAAGCGUUACUCGGAAUUACUGGGCGUAAAGCGUGCGUAGGUGGUGGUUUAAGUCCGUUGUGAAAGCCCUGGGCUCAACCUGGGAAUUGCAGUGGAUACUGGGUCACUAGAGUGUGGUAGAGGAUAGUGGAAUUUCCGGUGUAGCAGUGAAAUGCGUAGAGAUCGGAAGGAACAUCUGUGGCGAAGGCGACUAUCUGGGCCAACACUGACACUGAGGCACGAAAGCGUGGGGAGCAAACAGGAUUAGAUACCCCGGUAGUCCCUGUCUCUUAUAA
rnacentral:rRNA from 1 species